GUAUAGCCCUGAUGGGAGAGAAAUCCUGUGAUUGGGAGAUUGCUUCGCAGGCUCGCAAUGACAGAUUGUAACGGACAGCAGGAAUAGGG
rnacentral:sRNA from 1 species